UCCCUCCUGCCGCCUAAUCCGCCAUUCCAAAUCGUUUCGUGGCACGCGUCGCAACAGAGCUUCGUCCGUUCGUUAAUUGCAGUUAAUUAGAAUAGUUUAUUCAACGUGUACCAUUAUUUUACAUACCGAUCGAACGUCGAAAAAGCGAUAUCCGCGGAAUGGGAGAGUACGACGUCUGGAUUUUCGUCUUCAAUUUUACUUAUUUACAAUGAGAAAUGGUGUUGGACACACGACGACGAGUGAUCGAAACAACAAGCACGCGGGGAAGCCAUUGCAAAGCUGACGUAACGCGCAUGCUCGACGAUACAGCUUCCUUGUUGCCGCUUAAUCCGCCAUUCUGAAUCAGUUCGUGGCACGUGUCCCAACCAAGCUUCGUCCUCUCGUUAAUUGCAGAAUGGAAGAGGUACGAUGUCCGGAUUAUCAAUUUUACUUACGUACAAUAAGAAGUGAUAUUCGAAACAGGACGACGAGUGGACGUAAAUUCUGUGAAUUCGUUCGUGAGCGUUAACGAUACAGUGUGCCCUGUGUUCCUAGAAAGAAGCAAGAUGGAUUCGGCUAGAGUUCAACAGAGUAGACGUCUUCCAUUUAAGUUUAUACAUUCAUUCUUCGAUUAAGCAGUGUUCUUUCAGCGAAACUUCUUUUAGUAAUUUGCCGUCAGAGUAUAUUUUUUGUUCGAUUGUACAUUUUUUGGGAAGUGCGUUUUAUAUACGUGGAAUAGUUGAUAAUUCGGAAUUCAUUCAAAUUGAUUAACGUUGAUGUAACAUUUCUUUAAUUUUACAUUAGUGGAUUUUACAUGGAUUCUUUCAACCUUCAUCGUCGUCAUGUGAUUAAUAAUCGACAUCAUCAGGAUAGGGAGGAGUUGUGCACGGUCGUCACCGCGCAGUUGAAUCUUUCUAGACGCAACCCACUUUUUAUCGAGCACUUGUUUAUGGUCGAGAUUUGUCUCGUACCAUUUUCUGUGCAUUUACGCUGGUUGCUCUGCCUUCGUCCAGCAUUAUAAAAUAACCGAGGACAUUCUACUCUCCUCCUUAUUUUUUAGACCUGCUUCAGAUGUCGUUAAUUGAUCUCACGUCGAGGACGAUCGAUGGGAAAAUCUAUGUACGCGAACGCGCUUAAUCUACAUUAUUUUAACGAGUCGACGUCCGUCUUGGAAUAUCACUGCGAAAUAAAAAUUGUAGACUUUUCGUUGAUAGUACAUGACAGAACGAAUACUGCUUAAAUCACGGAGUGGAUGUAUCAUUCGACGGAUCGUUUCCUGAUUGCUGUAAUGCGGUUGACAGUUCUUUAGCCAUCGAAAUGUUACAAGCACGUGGGGAAGCCAUUGCAAAGGUGACGUAAUGCGCAAGCGCAGCGGUCCACAGCCUCCUUGCUGCCUCAGAAUCCACCAUUUUGAAUAAUGAUUGGCACGUGUUAUGACCAAGCUUUUUUCUUGCAGGAUGGAAGAGGGCGUAGAUUCUGUAAAUUUGUUCGUCAGCGUUAACAACACAGUGUGGCCCAUGUUCCUAGAAAGAAGCAAGAUUGAUUUGGCUAGAGUUCAACAAAGUAGACGUCUUCCGUUUAAGUUUAUACAUUCAUUCUUCGAUUAAGCAGUGUUCUUUCAGCGAAACUUCUUUUAGUAAUUUGCCGUCAGAGUAUAUUUUUUGUUCGAUUGUACAUUUUUUGGGAAGUGCGUUUUAUAUACGUGGAAUAGUUGAUAAUUCGGAAUUCAUUCAAAUUGAUUAACGUUGAUGUAACAUUAUUUCUUUAAUUUUACAUUAGUGGAUUUUAUAUGGAUUCUUUCAACCUUCAUCGUCGUCAUGUGAUUAAUAAUCGACAUCAUCAGGAUAGGGAGGAGUUGUGCACGGUCGUCACCGCGCAGUUGAAUCUUUCUAGACGCAACCCACUUUUUAUCGAGCACUCGUUUAUGGUCGAGAUUUGUCUCGUACCAUUUUCUGUGCAUUUACGCUGGUUGCUCUGCCUUCGUCCAGCAUUAUAAAAUAACCGAGGACAUUCUACUCUCCUCCUUAUUUUUUAGACCUGCUUCAGAUGUCGUUAAUUGAUCUCACGUCGAGGACGAUCGAUGGGAAAAUCUAUGUACGCGAACGCGCUUAAUCUACAUUAUUUUAACGAGUCGACGUCCGUCUUGGAAUAUCACUGCGAAAUAAAAAUUGUAGACUUUUCGUUGAUAGUACAUGACAGAACGAAUACUGCUUAAAUCACGGAGUGGAUGUAUCAUUCGACGGAUCGUUUCCUGAUUGCUGUAAUGCGGUUGACAGUUCUUUAGCCCACGUGGGGAAGCCAUUGCAAAGGUGACGUAAUGCGCAAGCGCGGCGGUCCACAGCCCCCUUACUGCCUCAGAAUCCUCGUUGAUUGCAGAAUGGAAGAGGUAGGACGUCCAGAUUUUCGUCAUCAAUUUUACUUAUUUACAAUAAUAAAUGGUGUUCGACACACAACAACGACUGGAUGUAGACGUGAUUUCUUUCGUUAUUGUUGACAUUACAUCGUGGCUAGUUUUCUUAAAAAUAAGCAAGAUGAAUUUAGUUACAUUCGAACAGAAUUGACAUCUUGACAGUACGAACGCUACUUACAUCGUGGAAGGAAGCGUUCCUUGAUCUAACAACCAGCUAAGGAAUCAUUAUUUUCGAUGAUAGAAAGAAAGAAAUAUAAAGUUCAAAAUUUUCGUCAUCAGUUUUACUUAUCUAUGAUAAGCAAUGGUAUUGGACACAGGACGACAACUGAUAAGCAAUAGUUGACAUAUAUUAUUAUUUAUUUUCACGUUACCCUUUACGAUAACGUUUAGCUAAUUCUACAUUUAUUUUUUCAGGUUAUAGGCAUUGCGAUUUCGUCCGUUAUUGUUAACAAUGCAUCGUGGCCCGUGUUCCUUGAAAUAAGCAUGGUGAAUUUAGUUACAGUCGAACAGAAUUGACAUCUGUUUACACAUUCAUUCUUCGAUUAAACAGUGUUCUGUUAACGAUACUUUUACAUCCGAGUAUAUUUUUCUUCCGAUUACAUUUUUCAUUUAAUAUACAUCGAGUAGCUGAUAAUUCAAAGUUUAUUCAAGUUGGAUAACGUUAUCGUAACUUCAUUCCUUUAAUCGAUGAAAAAAUUUAUUUAAGCGAACGCGUCUUAAAUAACACUAUUUCAACGAAUCAUAUGGUCUCUCUUGAAAUAUCGCUGCGAAAUAGAAACGAUAGGCUUUUCGUCGAUAGUAUACGACAGAACGAACACUGUUUAAAUCGAAAUAUAUGUGUUAAUUGGGUCGUGGAUUCCCGGAUAGCAGUUCCUAAGUAUCACGCUCGUUAGAGCAAGAUGGUUCUUUAUUCUCUUGUCUGAUGAGGAAUACUUAACAUUUUGAUAUUUUUAUUAUAACACUAUUUUUAUUAACUUUGUUAAUUUUUUUUUUUUUUUUCUUUUAGGAAGCCUAUGUUGUAAUUUCGUUCUACUGUUUGGAUACGGAUAAAAGAACAAUUCAACGCUCUAGUUGGAAAUGGUCUUUGUAAAAUUGCGACUCAUGGAAAGCCUCCUUCCUCUAGGAUCUAUCAUGAAUAUGAAGAUGAGAAAGGAAAGGAAAGGAGCCAGGAAGAUGCGAUGGAAGCAAUAACGAAGGAUGGAAUCUUGAAGAAUCUUCCAUUGGAUUAAAAUCAGCAGGAAAACAACGCUUCCUUCAUUUUACCGAACCGAAAGAAGACUCGCCUCUCCUUCGUGCGUAUUGCUUCUUUAAAUCUGCUUAAGCUCCAACGUUCUACGUAAUUCUCGGCGAUUUUGCGCACCCCUAAGCGUUUCUGCGUGACACCCUAAGCGAUCCUGCGAUACCCUAAGCGUUUCUGCGAUACCCUGAGCGUUUCUGCGAUACCCUGAGCGUUUCUGCGAUACCCUGAGCGUUUCUGCGAUACCCUGAGCGUUUCUGCGACACCCUGAGGGUUUCUGCGACACCCUGAGCGUUUCUGCGAUACCCUGAGCGUUUCUGCGAUACCCUGAGCGUUUCUGCGAUACCCUGAGCGUUUCUGCGAUACCCUGAGCGUUUCUGCGACACCCUGAGGGUUUCUGCGACACCCUGAGCGUUUCUGCGACACCCCCGAGCGUUUCUGCGACACCCCCGAGCGUUUCUGCGACACCCCCGAGCGUUUCUGCGACACCCCCGAGCGUUUCUGCGACACCCCCGAGCGUUUCUGCGACACCCCGAGCGUUUCUGCGACACCCCGAGCGUUUCUGCGACACCCCGAGCGUUUCUGCGACACCCCGAGCGUUUCUGCGACACCCCGAGCGUUUCUGCGACACCCCGAGCGUUUCUGCGACAUCCCGAGCGUUUCUGCGACACUACCUUGAGCGUACCUUGGAUACCCUAAGCGAUCUUGCAUGAUACCCUGAGCGUUUCUGCGACACCCUCAGCGUACCUGCGCAAUCCCUAACGUCGUAUUCUGUUCAAUUCUCAGCGUUUUGCGUAACCACCAGCAUUUCAAACGAUUCCCCUGCUUUAGUCUUGCGCAUAAUUGCGAUGUUUUACGAAAAAUUACAAGAUAGAAACAAAUUUGUUAGAAUCAUUGUUAUAAUAUUGUUGGAGUUUAUAGAGCGUUGAAAAAAUGAAACUUCAAUUGGAAGGUAGUACAUCAGUUGAUUUUUUCUUUCCGGAAUGUUAACAUAAAAUUGUUUUAUACUUCACAAGAUAUUACGUGCGGUGCAACGUUUAAGCGGUUGUAUUAUUGUUUAAAUCUUAUUUUAUAUCGACCAAUCGUAUAUUAUAGAUUCUUUAAAUAAUUGUAAAGUGAUAGAAAGCAUACAUAAACUUGGGUGCGUUAAGAAAACUAUUAUUUAAGUAUAAUUUUAUAUCGAACAAACGUAUAUUGUAAACCGUUUAAAUAAUUAUAUAGUGAUAAGAAGCGUUUAUAAACAAUGGUGCGUUGAGAAAAAUAUUUAAAUAUAAUUUUAACUCGAGUAAACGUAUAGUAUAGAAUGUUCAAAUAAUUAGUUAAACUAAUAGAAAGUAUACAUAAAUUCUGAUGCGUUGAGAGAAUUAUCGUUUAAUUAUAAUUUUAUACCGAACAAACGUAUAUUGUAAAAUUGUUUAAAUAAUUGUAAAGUGAUAGAAAGCAUACAUAAAUUUGAUGCAUUAAGAGAAUUUUAGACCACCGUUGGGCGUAUCGAAAACCGUCGUCCAGUAUUUAUCCGUAACAACAAACAUCUUUUUAGACAAUUCUUAGGAUAUCGCGUGACCCCAGCUUCGCGAAUAAUUGAAAUGCUCAUAUACUAAAAAAGAAAAAAUAUUAUUUUUAUCAUUGUAAUAAGAAAGCGUCGAAAAAAAGGAAGGCAGUAUGUAAGCAGAUUUCUGUUCUGCGAAACGUUCGAUUAAAAUUAUUUUCUACGUACUACGAGCGGUAUAAAGCUUGAGCGGCGGGGUUGUAUUCUGUAAAUAUUAGUUUGAUACUACCGAGCGUACAUAUGUAGCGUACAUUGCUUAAAUGAUUGUAAAACGACAAAAAAUAAAAAUGAUCUAGGUUUA